rnacentral:rRNA from 1 species
AGCGAACGCUGACGGCAGGCCUAACACAUGCAAGUCGAACGGACCCUUCGGGGUUAGUGGCGGACGGGUGGGUAACACGUGGGAACGUGCCUUUAGGUUCGGAAUAGCUCCUGGAAACGGGUGGUAAUGCCGAAUGUGCCCUUCGGGGGAAAGAUUUAUCGCCUUUAGAGCGGCCCGCGUCUGAAUAGCUAGUUGGUGGUGUAACGGACCACCAAGGCGACGAUCAGUAGCUGGUCUGAGAGGAUGAUCAGCAACAUUGGGACUGAGACACGGCCCAAACUCCUACGGGGGGCAGCAGUGGGGAAUCUUGGACAAUGGGCGCAAGCCUGAUCCAGCCAUGCCGCGUGAGUGAAGAAGGCCUUAGGGUUGUAAAACUCUUUCGCCGGAGAAGAUAAUGACGGUAUCCGGAGAAGAAGCCCCGGCUAACUUCGUGCCAGCCGCCGCCGUAAAAC